GAGUUUGAUCCUGGCUCAGAGUGAACGCUGGCGGCGUGCCUAAUACAUGCAAGUCGAACGAUGAAUCUUCUAGCUUGCUAGAAGUGGAUUAGUGGCGCACGGGUGAGUAAUGCAUAGGUUAUGUGCCCUUUAGUCUGGGAUAGCCACUGGAAACGGUGAUUAAUACUGGAUACUCCCUACGGGGGAAAGUUUUUCGCUAAAGGAUCAGCCUAUGUCCUAUCAGCUUGUUGGUGAGGUAAUGGCUCACCAAGGCUAUGACGGGUAUCCGGCCUGAGAGGGUGAUCGGACACACUGGAACUGAGACACGGUCCAGACUCCUACGGGAGGCAGCAGUAGGGAAUAUUGCUCAAUGGGGGAAACCCUGAAGCAGCAACGCCGCGUAAAGGAUGAAGGUUUUAGGAUUGUAAACUCCUUUUGUAGAGAAGA
rnacentral:rRNA from 1 species